GAUGAGCGCUGGCGGCGUGCCUAAUACAUGCAAGUCGAGCGAACGGACGAGAAGCUUGCUUCUCUGAUGUUAGCGGCGGACGGGUGAGUAACACGUGGAUAACCUACCUAUAAGACUGGGAUAACUUCGGGAAACCGGAGCUAAUACCGGAUAAUAUUUUGAACCGCAUGGUUCAAAAGUGAAAGACGGUCUUGCUGUCACUUAUAGAUGGAUCCGCGCUGCAUUAGCUAGUUGGUAAGGUAACGGCUUACCAAGGCAACGAUGCAUAGCCGACCUGAGAGGGUGAUCGGCCACACUGGAACUGAGACACGGUCCAGACUCCUACGGGAGGCAGCAGUAGGGAAUCUUCCGUAAUGGGCGAAAGCCUGACGGAGCAACGCCGCGUGAGUGAUGAAGGUCUUCGGAUCGUAAAACUCUGUUAUUAGGGAAGAACAUAUGUGUAAGUAACUGUGCACAUCUUGACGGUACCUAAUCAGAAAGCCACGGCUAACUACGUG
rnacentral:rRNA from 1 species